rnacentral:rRNA from 1 species
CCUACGGGAGGCUGCAGUGAGGAAUAUUGGUCAAUGGCCGCAAGGCUGAACCAGCCAAGUCGCGUGAGGGAUGACGGUCCUAUGGAUUGUAAACCUCUUUUGUCAGGGAGCAAAGGGCGCCACGUGUGGCGCUUUGCGAGUACCUGAAGAAAAAGCAUGGGCUAACUCCGUGCCAGCAGCCGCGGGAAUACGGAGGAUGCGAGCGUUAUCCGGAUUUAUUGGGUUUAAAGGGUGGGCAGGCGGAGGUGCAAGUCAGUGUUCAAAUUGCGGGGCUCAACCCCGUACUGCCGUUGAAACUGCAUCCCUUGAGUGCGCGAGAAGUAUGCGGAAUGCGUGGUGUAGCGGUGAAAUGCAUAGAUAUCACGCAGAACUCCGAUUGCGAAGGCAGCAUACCGGCGCGCAAAUGACGCUCAUGCACGAAAGCGUGGGUAUCGAACAGGAUUAGAUACCCCUGUAGUC